AUCCACUACCGGAACGAUGGCAGAUGGAGGUGGGGCGUUCUGGGAGAGAUGUGUCCAUGGAGAUGUGACGACGCGACAGCGUAAGAGAAUGCAAGGGCUUAGUACAGUGCUUUGCAUGCGGUUUGUGAGCCGUCUCCGAUGAGAGCAGACUCUGAACAGGAAGCCGGGGUCAGAGUGAAGAAGCUGCUCAGAAUUUCAUUGUGCUCUGCACACAGUAAGCGCUUAAUAAAUACGAUUGAAUGAA